rnacentral:rRNA from 1 species
CUGGAAUGCUUCUGUAUUCAAAGCUCCGGCGCCUGAGGAUGAGUCUGCGGCCUAUCAGGUUGUAGUCAGGGUCAAGACCUGACUAGCCAGCGACGGGUAUGGGGUGUGAGAGCACUUGCCCAGAGAUGGUUUCUGAGACACGAAACCAGGCCCUACGGGGCGCAGCAGGCGCGAAAACUUCGCAAUGCGGGAAACCGUGACGAGGGAACUCCGAGUGUCUAUGCAUUGCAUAGACUGUUUUUUAGCCUAAAUAGCUAUUAGAGUAAGGGGUGGGCAAGACCGGUGCCAGCCGCCGCGGUAACACCGGCACCCCGAGUGGUAGCCACUAUUAUUGGGCCUAAAGCGUUCGUAGCCGGUUUGGUAAAUUCUUGGGUAAAUCGUACCGCUCAACGGUGCGGAUUCCGGGGACACUACCAGACUUGAGACCGGGGGAGAUCAGAGGUACUUGCGGGGGAGCGGUGAAAUGUUGUAAUCCCGCAGGGACCACCAGUGGCGAAGGCGUCUGAUCAGAACGGCUCUGACGGUGAGGAACGAAACCCUGGGGCGCAAACGGGAUUAGAUACCCCGGUAGUCCAGGGCGUAAACGCUGCUGACUUGGUGUUGGGGAUCCUACGAGGAUGUCCAGUGCUGGCGCGAAGGUAUUAAGUCAGCCGCCUGGGGAGUACGGUCGCAAGACUGAAACUUAAAGGAAUUGGCGGGGGAGCACUGCAACGUGUGGAGCGUGCGGUUUAAUUGGACUCAACACCGGGAA